rnacentral:rRNA from 1 species
GACGAACGCUGGCGGCGUGCUUAACACAUGCAAGUCGAACGAGGCCCACCUUUCGGGGUGGUGUUCUAGUGGCGAACGGGUGAGUAACACGUGGGCAACCUGCCCUCAGCUCUGGGAUAACUCCAAGAAAUUGGGGCUAAUACCGGAUAUGACUGCUGACCGCAUGGUCUGGUGGUGGAAAGAUUUAUCGGCUGGGGAUGGGCCCGCGGCCUAUCAGCUUGUUGGUGGGGUAGUGGCCACCAAGGCGACGACGGGUAGCCGGCCUGAGAGGGUGACCGGCCACACUGGGACUGAGACACGGCCCAGACUCCUACGGGAGGCAGCAGUGGGGAAUAUUGCGCAAUGGGCGGAAGCCUGACGCAGCGACGCCGCGUGGGGA